rnacentral:rRNA from 1 species
AGAGUUUGAUCCUGGCUCAGGACGAACGCUGGCGGCGUGCUUAAUACAUGCAAGUCGAACGAGGUCCAACCGGUGGCAACACCGGGGAAGACCUAGUGGCGAACGGGUGAGUAACACGUGAGGAACCUGUCCCGAAGACUGGGAUAACAGCGGGAAACCGCUGCUAAUACCGGAUGCCCCCAUCGGACCGCAUGAUCUGAUGAGGAAACGAAUUUUGCUUCGGGAGGGCCUCGCGGUCUAUCAGCUUGUUGGUGGGGUAACGGCCUACCAAGGCGACGACGGGUAGCUGGUCUGAGAGGACGAUCAGCCACACUGGGACUGAGACACGGCCCAGACUCCUACGGGAGGCAGCAGUGGGGAAUAUUGGACAAUGGGCGCAAGCCUGAUCCAGCCACGCCGCGUGCGGGAUGAAGGCCCUUGGGUUGUAAACCGCUUUCAGCAGGGACGAAAAUGACGGUACCUGCAGAAGAAGCCCCGGCCAACUACGUGCCAGCAGCCGCGGUAAGACGUAGGGGGCGAGCGUUGUCCGGAUUUAUUGGGCGUAAAGAGCUCGUAGGCGGCUCGGCAAGUCGGGUGUGAAACCUCCAGGCUCAACCUGGAGACGCCACCCGAUACUGCCAUGGCUAGAGUCCGGUAGGGGACCACGGAAUUCCUGGUGUAGCGGUGAAAUGCGCAGAUAUCAGGAGGAACACCAGUGGCGAAGGCGGUGGUCUGGGCCGGAACUGACGCUGAGGAGCGAAAGCGUGGGUAGCAAACAGGAUUAGAUACCCCAGUAGUCC